AGGUUUCUGUAGGUGAACCUGCAGAAGGAUCAUUAGUGAAGAUUUGGGCAGGCCAUACGGACGCCAAAAAGUGUCCCUGGCCGCCUACACCCACUAUACAUCCACAAACCCGUGUGCACUGUCUUGGAGAAAGGCUUCAGAGAAGUUUUUUGUGGCCUCUCUUGGGGUCUUUCUUCGCUACAAACUCGAAUGGUUAGUAUGAACGUGGAACUUGGUUGGACCGUCACUGGCCAACAAACUAUACACAACUUUCGACAACGGAUCUCUUGGUUCUCCCAUCGAUGAAGAACGCAGCGAAACGCGAUAGGUAAUGUGAAUUGCAGAAUUCCGUGAAUCAUCGAAUCUUUGAACGCACCUUGCGCUCUAUGGCAAUCCGUAGAGCAUGCCUGUUUGAGUGCCAUGAAAUCUCCCACCCCAAGCGGUUUUUAAAUGAAACGGCUUGGCGGAUGGGGUCUGGAUGGGUGCCUCUGCCUGCGCUACCUAGCACAGGCUCGCCCGAAAUGCAUGAGCGCCUUGAGACACUUUGCAUCCGCCUCUCUGUUUGGGAGGAGGCGGCCAAGCAGUGUUUUUCUCCUGGCAUGGCAUGAUACGUCAUUUGCUAUGUCGCCUAAAGGAGGAAUGUUUGGUUGUGUCUGCGUGUGCUUCGAACUUGCCUCUGUGGCACAUCCCAAUUUCACUUCUGGUCUCAAAUCAGGUAGGAUCACCCGCUGAACUUAAG
rnacentral:rRNA from 1 species